UAGGGAAUAUUGCACAAUGGGCGAAAGCCUGAUGCAGCGACGCCGCGUGAGGGAUGAAGGGCUUCGGCUCGUAAACCUCUGUCUUGUGGGACGAUGGGGUUUGCAUUUAACACAUGCAGAUCUUGACGGUACCGCAGGAGGAAGCGCCGGCUAACUACGUGCCAGCAGCCGCGGUAAUACGUAGGGCGCAAGCGUUGCUCGGAAUCACUGGGCGUAAAGCGUGAGUAGGUGGAUUUUUAGUAAGUCAGGUGUGAAAUCCUUGGGCUUAACCCAAGAAGUGCGCUUGAUACUGCUAGUCUAGAGUUCGGGAGAGGGAGGCGGAAUUCCUAGUGUAGGGGUGAAAUCCGUAGAUAUUAGGAGGAACACCAGUGGCGUAAGCGGCCUCCUGGACCGACACUGACACUGAGUCACGAAAGCGUGGGGAUCAAACA
rnacentral:rRNA from 1 species